ensembl:ncRNA Y53F4B.59 ncRNA
UUUAAAAGCUUUAAAAAAUUGGAAAGCACAAUUUUUUUGAGCAAGAAUUGAGAAAACUCGCAGAAAAAAAUUCCGCAAGAAUUCAAAAAUUUUUUCUGAAAAAACAUUUUUAACGGAAAAGUUCAAAUUUUAGAAAACUCUGAAA